rnacentral:rRNA from 1 species
GACGAACGCUGGCGGCGUGCUUAACACAUGCAAGUCGAACGAAGUGGCGAACGGGUGAGUAACGCGUAAUCAACCUGCCCUUACGGGGGGGAAAACAGUUGGAAACGAGUGCUAAUCGCGCAAACUGAGGUAGGGGAUUGCGGCUGAUUAGCUAGUUGGAGGGGUAACGGCGCACCAAGGCGAUGAUAAGUAGCCGGGCUGAGAGGAUGAACGGCCACACUGGGAAUGAGACACGGCCCAGACUCCUACGGGAGGCAGCAGUGGGGAAUCUUCCGCAAUGGACGAAAGUCUGACGGAGCAACGCCGCGGGAGUGAUGACGGCCUUCGGGUUGUAAAGCUCUGUUAAUCGGGACGCGGUACCGGAAUAGAAAGCCACGGCUAACUACGUGCCAGCAGCCGCGGUAAUUC